ACGCUGGCGGCAGGCCUAACACAUGCAAGUCGAGCGGUAGCACGGGAGAGCUUGCUCUCUGGGUGACGAGCGGCGGACGGGUGAGUAAUGUCUGGGAAACUGCCUGAUGGAGGGGGAUAACUACUGGAAACGGUAGCUAAUACCGCAUGACCUCGCAAGAGCAAAGUGGGGGACCUUCGGGCCUCACGCCAUCGGAUGUGCCCAGAUGGGAUUAGCUAGUAGGUGGGGUAAUGGCUCACCUAGGCGACGACCCCUAGCUGGUCUGAGAGGAUGACCAGCCACACUGGAACUGAGACACGGUCCAGACUCCUACGGGAGGCAGCAGUGGGGAAUAUUGCACAAUGGGCGCAAGCCUGAUGCAGCCAUGCCGCGUGUGUGAAGAAGGCCUUAGGGUUGUAAAGCACUUUCAGCGAGGAGGAAGGCGUUGUAGUUAAUAGCUGCAGCGAUUGACGUUACUCGCAGAAGAAGCACCGGCUAACUCCGUGCCAGCAGCCGCGGUAAUACGGAGGGUGCAAGCGUUAAUCGGAAUUACUGGGCGUAAAGCGCACGCAGGCGGUUUGUUAAGUCAGAUGUGAAAUCCCCGAGCUUAACUUGGGAACUGCAUUUGAAACUGGCAAGCUAGAGUCCUGUAGAGGGGGGUAGAAUUCCAGGUGUAGCGGUGAAAUGCGUAGAUAUAGGAAGGAACACCAGUGGCGAAGGCGACCACCUGGACUGAUACUGACACUGAGGUGCGAAAGCGUGGGGAGCAAAC
rnacentral:rRNA from 1 species